CGAACGGUGUGGCGUGGUGCUUGGGUUUUGUUUAUUCGCACUCUACGUCAUUCCCACCAACUAUGUGAAUGUGGUAUUGCUUCUCAUCGGUGUUGCCCUGCCCUGUUUACGUGCUCUCUUUUUAUCGCUCUUAAAAGGGCGGGCAGGAAUACAGCGGGGCGUCAGUCAAUCGGUGUGAGAGAGAGGGAGAACUAGAGUGGGAGUGAGGAGUUUUGGUUCUCCUCUCUGAUACUAGGGUUUUCGCUCACUUUUUUUUUAAUUCAGUUAGGGUUUCUGUGAACUCCGUCGCCGGCGAAGAUGAUAGACUUCGCUCGUGUGCAAAAAGAGCUUCAAGAGUGUAGCAAGGACAUCGCGGGUUCUGGUAUCAGAGUGAACCCUAAAAGUGACAAUCUUGCUCGCUUGACUGGAAUCAUCCCCGGCCCCAUUGGUACCCCGUACGAAGGCGGCACUUUUCAAAUCGAUAUUACAUUGCCAGAUGGGUAUCCAUUUGAGCCUCCAAAAAUGCAGUUUGCCACUAAAGUCUGGCACCCCAAUAUUAGCAGUCAAAGUGGGGCAAUUUGCCUGGAUAUCUUGAAGGACCAAUGGAGUCCAGCUCUUACUUUGAAGACAGCACUUCUCUCUGUCCAAGCAUUGCUCUCUGCUCCUCAACCCGAUGAUCCUCAAGAUGCUGUUGUAGCACAACAGUAUCUUAAAGACUAUCAAACUUUCGCUGGCACAGCUCGGUAUUGGACAGAAACCUUUGCUAAGGCUUCAUCUCUUGGGGUAGAGGAAAAGGUACAGAAAUUUGUGGAGAUGGGUUUCCCUGAGGCUUUGGCAAGAAGUACAUUGGAAGCCGUUGGCGGGGAUGAGAAUAUAGCCCUUGAGAAGCUCUGCUCUGGUUAAGAUUUGCAUCAUCUGCUAAUUAUUUCACUUUUGAGUUUCUGAGCACUCGAAUUCUGCCUGGAUUGGCCAUCUAUAGCAGACCAGUGUUUCAAGCAAUGGUGGACAGUACUGCACAAGCCAAUUAUCAGAGCUGCAAAACAUAGAAGAGUACAUCUGCUUACAUGUCCCUCAACGACCUGACAUAUAAAUAAUAUCAAUAUUAUUGC